rnacentral:rRNA from 1 species
UACGGGGGGGGGCAAGCGUUGUUCGGAAUUACUGGGCGUAAAGGGCUCGUAGGUGGCCAACUAAGUCAGACGUGAAAUCCCUCGGCUCAACCGGGGAACUGCAUCUGAUACUGGAUGGCUUGAGAUUGGGAGAGGGAUGCGGAAUUCCAGGUGUAGCGGUGAAAUGCGUAGAUAUCUGGAGGAACACCGGUGGCGAAGGCGGCAUCCUGGACCAACACUGACGCUGAGGAGCGAAAGCAUGGGGAGCGAACAGG